rnacentral:rRNA from 1 species
AGUGAACGCUGGCGGCAGGCCUAACACAUGCAAGUCGAGCGGCAGCGCGGGGGCAACCCUGGCGGCGAGCGGCGGACGGGUGAGGAAUUCGUCGGAAUCUGCCUUUUUGUGGGGGAUAACGUAGGGAAACUUACGCUAAUACCGCAUACGUCCUACGGGAGAAAGUGGGGGACCGCAAGGCCUCACGCAGAAAGAUGAGCCGACGACCGAUUAGCUAGUUGGUGGGGUAAAGGCCCACCAAGGCGACGAUCGGUAGCUGGUCUGAGAGGAUGAUCAGCCACACUGGGACUGAGACACGGCCCAGACUCCUACGGGAGGCAGCAGUGGGGAAUAUUGGACAAUGGGCGCAAGCCUGAUUCAGCCAUGCCGCGUGUGUGAAGAAGGCCUUCGGGUUGUAAAGCACUUUUGUCCGGAAAGAAAUCCCUGGAGCUAAUACCUUCGGGGGAUGACGGUACCGGAAGAAUAAGCACCGGCUAACUUCGUG